AGUUACUCCAUGGACCAUAGUUCAGUUAACUAGAUAAAUUUGAGUAAGGGAUUGCAAAACUAAAGUGUAUUAAGAUCCAUUCAUUUGGAUUAGAAGUUGUCACACACAGGUAGAUGGAAUGGUGUACACUUUUCAAACAGAAUGUAAUAAUGCACCUAUAAUUGUAAAUUUAAUUGCACAUAAAAAUCUCCUGCUGUCUCGUGAAGUGUUGUUCAGAAACUGAUAUCUUGUUAUUAAUUACAGGGAGAAGCUGCUGAGUUAGAAGAGAUCCUUGCAAGAUGACAGGUGAAAAGAAGGCGGAGGAAUGAAAAACCUCUGGACAAAAAGUCGGAGUUACACAGCACAACCACCUGGAAGGAGUGUUGUGACAAUGACGACGAAGAUAUUCUGAUUCUGGACGUGGAUGAGGAACUCUUAGAAGAAAUGGAUUCAUUAUUGAGGGAAAUGAAAUUGUGAUUAUAGUUUGAUGCAUUCUGUUUUGAUUAUUUUAAGUUAAUGGAUGUAUAGUUUCUGUUUAA